AGCGAACGCUGGCGGCAGGCCUAACACAUGCAAGUCGAACGGAUCCCUCGGGAUUAGUGGCGGACGGGUGAGUAACACGUGGGAACGUGCCCUUUGGUUCGGAACAACUCAGGGAAACUUGAGCUAAUACCGGAUGUGCCCUUCGGGGGAAAGAUUUAUCGCCAUUGGAGCGGCCCGCGUCUGAUUAGCUAGUUGGUGAGGUAAAGGCUCACCAAGGCGACGAUCAGUAGCUGGUCUGAGAGGAUGAUCAGCCACAUUGGGACUGAGACACGGCCCAAACUCCUACGGGAGGCAGCAGUGGGGAAUCUUGCGCAAUGGGCGAAAGCCUGACGCAGCCAUGCCGCGUGAAUGAUGAAGGUCUUAGGACUGUAAAAUUCUUUCACCGGGGACGAUAAUGACGGUACCCGGAGAAGAAGCCCCGGCUAACUUCGUGCCAGCCGCCGCAGUAAAAC
rnacentral:rRNA from 1 species